GAUCAUCUAUGCUUACUUGGGUAUUCUCAUGGGAUUCAGAAGUGACAAAUAACCAAAUCUUGUUUUUAUUUUGCUGUCUUUCCUUGCAAUGAAAUAGGAAAGACUGGAUUACUAGCCGUGGGUGUUUCAAAACAAAGUAGUCACUUUUAAACGCUGUACAAUUAAGGAUCGUGUGACUAGUUCACUCUACGUCGUACAGGUUUUAUGUGCAAACCGACUUCCCCAGUUCAGUAAAAACAGCGAGGAAUAAAUUUGAGAGAUGACAUUUUGUAAAGAACCGCAUCUUGAACGGAACCAAUGCGAUUAUUACAAUCGAUGGCUACACAAAGACUGAAGAUUGUGCCGGGAUUUUGAAUCCUUACUCAAAGAAGUACACGAGCAUUUUAAUUAUGUGGCUAUAAAAAUUGUGCAUACAUUAUAAGAUCUUCAAAGAAUUGUAGUCAUGUUUCAAAAAUAAAUAAAAAAAUCAUUUCGUUUCUCUUCAGAA
rnacentral:lncRNA from 1 species